rnacentral:ncRNA from 1 species
GUCGACGCCCGCAUGGGGCGCCCGGACGAGCCCGCCGUACCCGGUCAGCGACAAGACGGUGGCUU